ANNNNNUGCAGAAUUCAGUGAUCAUCGAAUCUUUGAACGCACAUUGCGCCCGUCAGUAUUCUGGCGGGCAUGCCUGUUCGAGCGUCAUUACGCCCCUCAAGUCCCCUGUGGACUUGGUGUUGGGGAUCGGCGAGGCUGGUUUUCCAGCACAGCCGUCCCUUAAAUUAAUUGGCGGUCUCGCCGUGGCCCUCCUCUGCGCAGUAGUAAAGCACUCGCAACAGGAGCCCGGCGCGGUCCACUGCCGUAAAACCCCCCAACUUUUUAUAGUUGACCUCGAAUCAGGUAGGACUACCCGCUGAACUUAAGCAUAUCAAUAAGCGGAGGAG
rnacentral:rRNA from 1 species